rnacentral:rRNA from 1 species
AUUGAACGCUGGCGGCAGGCCUAACACAUGCAAGUCGAGCGGGGUUUUCGGACCUAGCGGCGGACGGAUGAGUAAUGCGUAGGAAGCUGCCCGAUAGAGGGGGAUACCAGUUGGAAACGACUGUUAAUACCGCAUAAUGUCUACGGACCAAAGUGUGGGACCUUCGGGCCACAUGCUAUCGGAUGCGCCUACGUGGGAUU